rfam:Hydatigera taeniaeformis genome assembly, scaffold: TTAC_contig0007351
GCCCUCGUAGCUCAGGGGUUAGAGCACUGGUCUAGUAAACCAGGGGUCGGGAGUUCAAGUCUCCCCGAGGGCA